rnacentral:rRNA from 1 species
CCUACGUGAGGCAGCAGUAGGGAAUCUUCCACAAUGGACUAACGUCUGAUGGAGCAACGCCGCGUGAGUGCAGCAGGGUUUCGGCUCGUAACGCUCUGUUGGUAGUGAAGAAAGAUAGAGGUCGUAACUGGCCUUUAGUUGACGGUAAUUAAUUAGAAAGUCCAGGCUACCUACGUGCCAGCAGCCGCGGUCAUCCGGAUGUAGCAAGCUUUUUCCGGCUUUAUUGGGCGUGAAGCGAGUGCAUGCGGUUCAAUAAGUCUGAUGUGAAAGCAUUCGGCUCAACCGGCGAAGUGCAUCAGAAACUGUUGAACUUGAGUGGAGAAGAGGAGAGUGGAACGUGAGGUGUAGCGGUGGAAUGCGUAGAGAUAUGGAAGAACACCAGUGGCGAAGGCGGCUCUCUGGCCUGCAACUGACGCUGAGGCUCGAAAGCAUGGGUAGCGAACAGGAUUAGAUACCCCGGUAGUC